UGUGUGUGUGUGUUUGUGUCUGACUGUGUUUGUGUCUGUGUCUGACUGUGUGUGUGUGUGUGUUUGUGUCUGACUGUGUGUGUGUAUGUGACUGUGUGUCUGUGUGUGUUUGUGUCUGACUGUGUGUGUCUGACUGUGUGUGUCUGACUGUGUGUGUGUGUUUGUGUCUGACUGUGUAUGUGUGUGUGUGUGUGUCUGUGUGUGUGUGUGUGUGUGUGUGUGUGUGUGUGUGUGUGUGUGUGUGUGUGUGUGUGUGUGUGUGUGUGUGUGUGUGUGUGUGUGUGUGUGUGUCUGUGUGUGUCUGUGUGUGUUUGUGUGUGUUUGUGUCUGACUGU